CUCCGGCUUUAAAAUUGUACAUAUAUCGCUUCGUUUUGAAAAUGUCUUAAAUAUAACGUUACAUCAAGGUCGUUCGCUGUGCAACUUUUAAAUGUCCAUGUGUUUUCGCUAGUACGUUCUGGGUAAACAGACAGAAAGACAGACAGAAUAGCGAACUUCUUAUAGUGGUUUAGUGGCUAAAGGAAUAGUUAAGAAAUAGAAAGUUUUACUACGCUGAUUAAGAAUGAAAAUCGCAGUUCUCCUUCUUCUGGUGUGUAUUGCAAAAUUUUGUGAUUUUUCAGACAGUUGUUGCAUGAAAAGUGGACGCUGUUCGAAGAAUAGUGAUUGUUGCCUAUUUCAUUUUUGCGCCUAUAUUAAUUUGAAGAGCAGAAGAUGUAUUCCACAUGGAAAAUAAAAAAUGAAGUAUGUUAUAGGGCGCUGAAAAAUAAUACGUAGCUUUCGGGAU